CACGUGGGGAACCUGCCCCAUAGUCUGGGAUACCACUUGGAAACAGGUGCUAAUACCGGAUAAGAAAGCGGAUCGCAUGAUCAGCUUUUAAAAGGCGGCGUAAGCUGUCGCUAUGGGAUGGCCCCGCGGUGCAUUAGCUAGUUGGUAAGGUAAAGGCUUACCAAGGCGAUGAUGCAUAGCCGAGUUGAGAGACUGAUCGGCCACAUUGGGACUGAGACACGGCCCAAACUCCUACGGGAGGCAGCAGUC
rnacentral:rRNA from 1 species